CCGUACCCAUAUAAAGAUAUUACCCGCUAACCAAAACGGGUUUGGAUACUGCGAGACUGAGCUGAAGAGCCUCCAGAAACAAAGGAAAAUCGCCAUAAAUUUCAAGCUUUUUGGGUUGUAACCACAAGCUUUAUUCCAUUUAACAUCAUCGAAGACUGCGAACUGAAGGGUUGGGCUUGAUUCUUCUUCGCGACACUGGACUUCUCGGAUGUUUCCAAGAAUGAACUUCAUCUUGUGAAGCAUUGGCUUGAUGGACCUUUGGGAUGUUGCUUUAUUAGGAAAGGAGAUGUGAAACUUGAUUCGUAUCACUCAUCUUCUGCUUGUGGAUCAGCUGGGUAAGUUUAACAAGUUGCCAUGGGGAAAGGUCUGCUUUUAGCACAAUUGGAUGUCUUGGCGUGGUGAUGUUCGAUUGAGUUACUAAGUUUGUAAACAGACAAGUGGAAAUGUCAACCAAAGUGUAUGAGAAGUUGAAGAGCCUCUGGGAAAUUUACAGUUGGGUUCGUUUUCCAUUUGCCUUGCAGGUAUGGACCCAUAAAGCCAUACCCCGCCUGCAAGUAGAUAUGCAUUCGAGGUUGAAAACAAUCUUCCCCGGAUAUUGAAUUGGUCUGCUUCUGCAACUCCUGCCUUUGAUGCUCUUAGAAAGUAAAAUUUUAGGUGCAAAAUUUAUGGUUUACUUUGGAAUGAUUAAGUUAAAAUUUCAUUGGCUGAGUUCACGUACUCAUCUAUUUUUAUUUCAUUGACAAGUGCAAGUGUUGAGUCAACUCUGUCCAAUAGAUGCUGAGCAAUAAAAAGAAUACUACAAAAGCAUUGGAGAUGUGACAACUAUUACAAACCCUUUGCCAAUGGAAGACAAUGAUAAUACCCUGGUUGAUGAUUCUGCAAUUGAUCUUGAGAAAAGUGCAUCAGAUCAUCCUAAUGAAAAAGACGAUGGCUGCCUAUUGCAUUUGCGUCUCCUCCAUGGUCAACUCAUGGGGUGGACCUAUCAAAAGAGAUGGAAACUUCUUGUGCCCCCAAAGUUGAUUAUUUUUAACCUCGUCCUUUAUUAUAUUUUUAGAAACUGUUCAACUUUCUCACUGUUUUUGGAAGGUUGAUUAUGCUACUAGGCUAGAAUUGCAUGAGUGUCAAGAAAAGUGGAUGCUAUUGUUCACGAGCUUCAAUCUUGUAGAUCUAAAGUAAUGGAUCGAUUGGGCCAGAUUUUUCAGAUAUCGAUAGCUUUUGACAAGAACGAAAUGCAACUUGAUACAUUUUGAAGGUGGUGUAUUUUUUCUUGAUUGAAAUUCUCUUUAUUUUUCCCCAUUGAUUUUAGUAACUAAUAAUAUGGUUCACAUUGUGAUAGCCUCUACCAAUCAUAUGGUGAUAAAGACAGAAGAUUUGUUAUGGUACUCCUGCACCUUUCAGUAUCAAAACAAAAGGCAUGUUUGGCAAGUGAAAUGCCCUCACAAAGGAGGAUGAUCAGAAGAAAGGGAAUAAAACACAUAUAGGUAUAGUGAGUGAGAUGGUGGAUGGGAAUGUGAAGGAGGUGAAGAAAAUGAUAAGAAAAUGUUAGAAAGAACUGUGCAAGGUAUGAAUUUUGCCAAGAUGAAUAGUGAUGAUAUGUAGAAGUAUGAGAAGAAAAGAGGAACAAUAUAGAAGAGAAACAGGAAAUGGCGAAGGUUAGAUAGGAAUAGUUGGAUAGGAUUGUGGAGGUUAGAGAGGAAGAUAAAUUGGAGAAGAUGGUGGAGUUUGAAGAGGGGAUAAAGUGUGAGCUAACGGAUGUAGGGGAGUAGGAAGAGGAAAGGGAAUGAGAACGUAAUUCUUCAGCUUUGAACCUACAGUUCUUUAUACUAUUUAGACUUUCUUUUUGCAAAUCUUUCUUACGUACCAAAUACAUAGUUGAUUGACCUCAAUGUCUUUACGUGCAGUAAAGGACGCCCCUAAUGUUUCAAGAGUGCAAGAGGACAGGUAUUUUUUUGUAUUUAUUUGCUCAUCGCCUUCAAACCAUCUUGUUGAGCAUUAUUUGAAGGUUUUUUUAUUUUUUUAUUUAUUAGUAUUUUAUAUGAAGGUUUUAGGUACAAUGAGGCCUGUAACUAUUUGCUUCUUUGGAAAAUAACUGUUUCCUGCCAUAUGAGUGCCAAGCCAAACUUUGUUAUAAUUAGUUUCUUCUAAUGUCAACUUGAAUUUGUUUACCUUUCUA